AAACAUGAAAUAGCCUUUUAUACACAUCAAAACAUGUCCAUCACAAGCCAUCCCAAUGGCUAGCUACAAACAGAACAUUUAUAUGCCAACAUUGGCUAAUUAACCUAUAAAUGCCAUUAUAACCAAAAUUAAUUUAUUAUUUAUACCGAAAUGAGCUGAUGGAUAGUGUGAGAUAUCUUUGCCAAGCUUCCAACCCAAC
rnacentral:lncRNA from 1 species